GCAAGUGCUGACUGCUGGGAGCCUGUUCUGCCUCCCAACUGGUACCUGUCGUGCUUUUCCACAGCCCUCUCCUGAUUUCUGAAUCUCACAUGUGGGAUCAGAAAAGGUUCAUCUAGAGGUGCAAAUCUGUCUGACAAAGAGACGAGCUGACCUGCCAAGGCCUGCAGGAGGCUCAUGGUGUGCCAGCACUGGACUGAAAUGAGCCAAAGUAAGCAAUGGCCAGAGAAGCUUCUGGGUUUGAACCUGCUGAUUCCUGCAGCAGAACACUUCCUUGAGUAGUACCAAAUUGUUUUGCUGUAACGUAGUGUCUUGUGGUUGGAUUCUUUGGUUUCCUAAAAAGUCAAACCGCAACUGAAACUCCUGCAGCAGUUGGGAUGUUCUUAAAUUCCUAUGCUUUAGGGAUUGCCUGCUACCGAUGUCUCCAGGAUUCGCUCUCUUGGCUGGACUUGCCUCAGUGAGAGCACUAACACAGCACUCCCACCUUUUCUCUCUGCCCUUCUGUUUCCAUGACCUUUGAAAAAGUCAAACACCUUAAGAUCCUCUCUCAACAGUGUCCAAGUUAAAAGUUUAUUAGGAGGACCUGAGGAACAGAAACAUAGAAUUUAUCACCAAAUAAGCCUCACGUAUUACAGAAAUUGCUGGAAACUGGGUGAGAAGAGCUAAGACAUGGAGAUCACUUCUGGGUUUUGCCCCUUUACCAUUGUAGCCUCUGGGUCUCUGUUGCACAGAGCUGUUAUUUCACUCUCUCUGCUGCAGCCCCAGUUCCUCCUGGUGUCUACCAAUAGUCCUGAGCAACAGCAGGAAACAUUCCUCUCUGCCAUCUCUGCAGAACAGCUUCCAGGGGAAAGGAUAGGAGCUGCAAAACCUAGGCCCCUGCUGUUAGGCAGGUACAUUCUUACUCCAGAGAAGUUCCUGAAAGCUUUAACUCAGGUAGGCAAAGGAGGACAGGUUUUGAAAGCAGAAAAUUGAGCAAAUUAGCAGGCAAUAACUGAAGUUUCCACCUCUAAUCCAAUUCUUACACUGGUUUAUAGUCACUUAGAGCCCUGCAAAGUCAAGAUGGUGUUGAGGAGUACAGAAGAAAUUGGUGUUAGGAUCUUACCUACUUGGAAUUUUUCUAGUUCUGAGAGAACAGCAGUCUGACAUCCCCUCAGACAUCAUUUAUGAUGCACUACUUCUGUAGUGUUCAGGAAUAGUGCAUGUCUUUGAUUUGAGUACAAAUUGGCUCUUGGGCAUAAAUAAAGAUUGAGAAGCCAAAGUUUGUGUCAGGAUCUCAGUUUUGAACUCAGUAUCCUUGGAACUGAAUCUGUGCUUUGAUUUAUCACUUUUGUUCCAGCUUGAAUUAUGUUAUAACCAGAACCUGCACGAAUUGCUUCUCAGGUAUUUCUGUUCUUUAUCAUUAUCUUGAUUUGUUUCUAUAGGAUAGUUAAGACAAAGCCCCUCGUGAAAGGAUGAGAAAUCCUCUGUUCACACUCAGGAGAAAUGUCUGCCACAAUGCUGACUUUUCUGACUAGACUGCAGGAUUCUGUCAGCCUGUUUAAGCUCAGAAAAAAGUUUACUUUGCUGAACAGUCUUUUUUUAGUGUAAAGAAGAGUAGAACAUUCUUUUGAAAUGAAGAAAAUUUUAAAAAUCCCACCAAAUCAAAGUGCAGUCACAUACUCUACUGAUGAAGAGACUGUAGGAACCUAUAUUGACUACAAUUGUAUGUAGAGAAAGAAACAACAUUUAACAUAGAACAAACGAACAAAGUAAGUGGCAUUUCUUAAAGCUGAAUCUAGGAAUUGCAAAGAGUCAAAAAUGCUUUAAAUCACUGGAACUUGUUUCGGGUACAAAGAAACUAAUUGGGAUUUGAAGUACUAUUUAUUAUGGAGAAGAGUGAUCCCAAAAGCUGAGAGAGUGUCAAAGAGUUAAAAGUUAUGAAUUUACCAAGAAAAAACAUGAGUCAAUAUCAAAAAGUUUCCAAGAUGACCAUCUGAAAAUAUUUUGGGUUCAAUUCAACAGAUCAAAAGAGCUUGCUUGAAUUGAACUUUAAAAUAAAUAUAUAAAAAAAUAGGUUUAGAAGUACAAGCUGUUUAAUUGUUUGAAGUGAACAUGCUUUCCUUUCACACAAUUUGAAUUUAAUUUAUUAGAGUUUUCUGAUUCAAAACCAUUUCAUGAAUGUGGGAAGACUGGGAUGUAUGGUGUAUUUAUUGCUAAGUGAGAAUCUCAUCUGGUUGCUGCAAGUCAGUGCAGUCAAUUCUUGACCUGAAGGAUAAUGCCAUUACAGUGGGAUCAUAAGGUGUUACAAUAUUGUCCAAAGGAUCUGAGGGACAAGCAUGUAAAAGCCUUGGAAGUCUAUUUUGUCUGACAAUACAGGCAUCUGAAUUUUGCCUAGAAGUUUAUAUUUUCUGCAGUUUAACGUUGCUGACUAGUGGUUUGCAUCCCUGUGAGGAUCUGGCCCUUAACUGAAAAUAUUCCAAUGCUUUGUGAAAUUAUAUCAUUCAGUGAAAAAAACCCAACAAAUCUUGAUUGUCAGCAUGUGUCACGCAGGAGCUGUUUUUUGGUUUGGUGCCAGUGCACUUUUUCACCAGUUCUUAGAUUGACAAGUGUAUUUCUUCAUGAUAAAUUAAAAAAAAAAAUAAAUAAAAAUCUCCUCUCCUCCCUCCUGCCCAUCUUUGCUCUUCUCCCAGCUGUCAUCACUGUUUACAGUUUGAGUAAGCAAAAAUAUAUAUAUUUACAAGUACAGCUUACUGCUGUGUUUGCUGGUAUAGACUGCCUGGGGGCAUAUCUGUGAAUGGAGCACAUACAUAAAUAUACCCCCUUCUCCUGUCAGCCUCUCCCCUCCCCUACCUUGUUUUCUUAAGCUGUGUGUUAAAUCUCUUCUGUUGGAUUCUGUUGGAUUCUGAUUUUGGAGGGAGACUAACGUCUUCCCUCAUGGCUGUACGUGAGUGCUGUCAGAUCUUGGGCACUAAACAUGAGGUUCCCACCACUCCCAAACCUCCUGUCCUUCCCAAACACUGCUGUUCCCUCUCUCCUGCCCUGUGAACCUGCCCACUGGAUUAACUGAGGUCACGGAGCAGGAGGAACGUCGUGUUGCAGCUGAACUGUUCCACCUCUUGGGGUUGUGUGUGAAAGUAGAAGAUUUUAUUUUCAGCUGCAGCCUCAUGCUAAUGGCCCUUCUCCCAACUGGACAUGUGCCCAUUGGACAAUCCCAGAGCAUCCUGGUUGCCUGCCAGCCCCAGAUGCCAGAAGCAUGUCCCCACUUCCUCUCCCCUUGCAUGAUGAAGUCUGCGGGGUCUCAUCCACCAUAAGGCAGGAAAGUCACAUCUUGCAUGCUUUUGGGGCAGUGGAUCCUUAUGAAGGCCUCCAGAUGUUAUUGUAAUAGCAAUUAAAAAUCUACCAUAACUAACUGAAUAAUGGACAAUAAAUUUUAAAUCAGGUUUUUCAUAUGGUUUUAUAAAAAUGUGACAAACAUCCAUGGUCUCAUCAGAACUAGGCUUCAGCAUUGUGCUUGUGGCAUUCCAACUGCUCCCGACUGCAAGUCCUGCUGAGGCCAAAUGAAAGCUGAUGGUUCCAGGAAGUUUUGCAGGAUUUCUUCUCAGUGCUCAUCUAGUCAGAAAGCAGUCACAGCACCAAACCUGACACAGUUCAAGAAGCGUUCGGACAAUACUCCCAGGCACGUGGUGUGACUCUUGGGGAUGGUCCUGUGCUCGCCCAGGAGCUGGACUCAAUGGUCUUUGUGAGUCCCUUCCAACUCAGCACACUCUGUGAUUCUGAGCAUCCAGCGGUUAAAUUCACUAACCUGUGUUCAGUCCCUAACUCCCAUGGGAAUUGCCCUUAUAAGUUUGGGAAAGACAUUAAGGACUUGUUUAUGCUGCUAAAAUUAACUUGAUUUUUUUACUCCAGUGUUACUGCUGAACACUUAGCUGCUACAUGUUAUACCAGUAGAGACAAAACAUGUUAGUUUUAGUCUGAAGUGUAUUUGCUGAAGUUGAUUCAGUAGCACAGUUGAAGGUUUUGUUUGUUUGUUUUGUAACUAGGAUGCAUUUAGUGGUUCUGAAGUAAAAGAAGAAUGCAGCUUUUUAAAGAUACUUUUCUACCUAGGAAAUGGGCAUGAUAGUAAUUAAAUUUCUCUCCAUGACACUGUUGAGUACAGUGUAAAAGCUGACAGACUGUAUUUGUUGUGGGAGCCAUUGUGGGAGAUGAAGAUAGCUCUGUACCCAAGGUUUCCAGGAUAUAUUCAGGUAUGGACAAAAAUAUAUUUAGAUAUUUGUUUCAACUCUGCAUUUCACUCAUCUGUGUCACGAUAACUAAAAAUAAAAACUACAGGGAAACUAG